rnacentral:misc_RNA from 1 species
GAUGAAGAACGUAGCGAAAUGCGAUAAGUAGUGUGAAUUGCAGAAUUCAGUGAAUCAUCGAAUCUUUGAACGCACAUUGCGCCCCUCGGUAUUCCGUGGGGCAUGCCUGUUCGAGCGUCAUCUACACCCUCAAGCCCUGCUUGGUGUUGGGUGCCUGUCCCGCCCCGCGCGGCGACUCACCCCAAAUGCAUUGGCGGCGGCGCCUUGCCCCUCCCACGCAGCACAUUGCGCUUCUCGAGGCGGCGGGACCGCGUCCACGAAGCCGACAACCCGUCUUUGACCUCGGAUCAGGUAGGGAUACCCGCUGAACUUAAGCAUAUCAAUAAGCGGAGGA